UUUGAUGGCGACCGGCGCACGGGUGAGUAACACGUAUCCAACCUGCCGAUGACUCGGGGAUAGCCUUUCGAAAGAAAGAUUAAUACCCGAUGGCAUAGUUCUUCCGCAUGGUAGAACUAUUAAAGAAUUUCGGUCAUCGAUGGGGAUGCGUUCCAUUAGCUUGUUGGCGGGGUAACGGCCCACCAAGACAUCGAUGGAUAGGGGUUCUGAGAGGAAGGUCCCCCACAUUGGAACUGAGACACGGUCCAAACUCCUACGGGAGGCAGCAG
rnacentral:rRNA from 1 species